rnacentral:rRNA from 1 species
CGCGCUAUAUACAGUCGAGCGGAACGAUCCUAGCUUGCUAGGAGGCGUCGAGCGGCGGACGGGUGAGUAACGCAUAGGAAUCUGCCCGGUAGUGGGGGAUAACCUGGGGAAACCAGGCUAAUACCGCAUACGUCCUACGGGAGAAAGCAGGGGAUCUUCGGACCUUGCGCUAUCGGAUGAGCCUAUGUCGGAUUAGCUGGUUGGUGAGGUAAUGGCUCACCAAGGCGACGAUCCGUAGCUGGUCUGAGAGGAUGAUCAGCCACAUCGGGACUGAGACACGGCCCGAACUCCUACGGGAGGCAGCAGUGGGGAAUAUUGGACAAUGGGCGCAAGCCUGAUCCAGCCAUGCCGCGUGUGUGAAGAAGGCCUUCGGGUUGUAAAGCACUUUCAGUGGGGAAGAAUCCUCGGGGCUAAUACCCUCGAGGGAGGACAUCACCCACAGAAGAAGCACCGGCUAACUCCGUGCCAGCAGCCGCGGUAAUACGGAGGGUGCGAGCGUUAAUCGGAAUUACUGGGCGUAAAGCGCGCGUAGGCGGCCUGAUAAGCCGGUUGUGAAAGCCCCGGGCUCAACCUGGGAACGGCAUCCGGAACUGUCAGGCUAGAGUGCAGGAGAGGAAGGUAGAAUUCCCGGUGUAGCGGUGAAAUGCGUAGAGAUCGGGAGGAAUACCAGUGGCGAAGGCGGCCUUCUGGACUGACACUGACGCUGAGGUGCGAAAGCGUGGGUAGCAAACAGGAUUAGAUACCCUGGUAGUCCACGCCGUAAACGAUGUCG